rnacentral:misc_RNA from 1 species
UUUCCGUAGGUGAACCUGCGGAAGGAUCAUUAAUGUGUUUGGGCCUCACGGCUCUUCAUUCCGACGCUGUGCGCCUUCGGGCUGCACGCUGAGGGAGCAUAUAUCCACCCCUGUGCACACACACGGUGGCGAGCUGGGUAACGGCUCGCCGCUGAUCUUUACACACGUCUAAAAGUCAUUGUAUGUUUAUUUGAGAUAAAAACACAACUUUCAGCAACGGAUCUCUUGGCUCUCGCAUCGAUGAAGAACGCAGU